rnacentral:misc_RNA from 1 species
CCCAUUCCUCUGUCCUCUUAACUUUCUUCUUCUUCUUCCUUUUCUUCUUUUUCUUCUUCUUUCUAGUUCUUCCCCCUUGACCCCUGCGUGGCUACGAUUCAUUUCGUUCUCCUUCUUUGCGAGUCCCGCCUCGGCCCACUAUUCUUCUCUUUGCCUUGUGUCUGCCAUUCGCUGCUCUGUUCCUUCCUCGAGUCCCUUUGCCUUUCUUCCUCAACUCGUUGUGUUGCGAUGGAUUACUUCGAUGUGAGUCUUAUGGAUGAGUAUAAUCUCCCUCAGAUGGUGAUGGCUCUAGGCAGUAUUGUUCAAACACCAAUUGCAUGAGAUGCUGUAUGCAUUGAUUCACUCAAGAUCUCUCAUGGGUUUGUGCUUCUGCGACUAGAUCUCCUAUGCUUCUUCAUGGGUUUAUGUUGUGAUU